rnacentral:rRNA from 1 species
AUUUCGGUCAAAUCAAGUGCAAUCUUAGUGGCGGACGGGUGAGUAACGCGUGGGCAACCUGCCUUGCACUGGGGGAUAACACUUAGAAAUAGGUGCUAAUACCGCAUAAGCGCACGGUCCUGCAUGGGACAGUGUGAAAAACUCCGGUGGUGCAAGAUGGACCCGCGUCUGAUUAGCUGGUUGGCGGGGUAAAGGCCCACCAAGGCGACGAUCAGUAGCCGGCCUGAGAGGGUGGACGGCCACAUUGGGACUGAGACACGGCCCAAACUCCUACGGGAGGCAGCAGUGGGGGAUAUUGGACAAUGGGGGGAACCCUGAUCCAGCGACGCCGCGUGAGUGAAGAAGUAUUUCGGUAUGUAAAGCUCUGUCAGCAGGGAAGAAAGCAAUGACGGUACCUGACCAAGAAGCCCCGGCUAACUACGUGCCAGCAGCCGCGGUAAUACGUAGGGGGGCAAGCGUUAUCCGGAAUUACUGGGUGUAAAGGGAGCGUAGACGGCUGUGCAAGUCUGGAGUGAAAGGCGGGGGCCCAACCCCCGGACUGCUCUGGAAACUGUAUGGCUGGAGUGCAGGAGAGGUAAGCGGAAUUCCUAGUGUAGCGGUGAAAUGCGUAUAUAUUAGGAGGAACACCAGUGGCGAAGGCGGCUUACUGGACUGUAACUGAC